ACUUCAUCAAACGGAAGAGGUUUUACAUCGCGUAGAUUAAUAGGGAAUCGUGUGAAAAUCACGAGCUGUCGCGCAACUGUAAGCAGCAUACCAAAGGUUUCUGUCCAAGCAUAUCCACUGCCAAAAGCGGGAAGGAUGACAGACACCGCUGCAAGCCAGGAGACCUGCCUGUUCCGGAUUGACAAU
rnacentral:ncRNA from 1 species